UUCUCCUCUUCAUUUUUUAGGCAAUAAGCAUGGAUUGGUAGAAAAUUUGUUACUUUCUCACUUAUUCUCUAAAUUUAUUUCUUAAAUGUUGAUCUAAUAGGUUCUCAUAAAUGAAGACUGUUGGCGCUUAGAGACUUCUUAACUUGAUUAGUUCCGUGAACAAAAGGAUUGUUUGGUGAAUUUUGUAAAAUCGUAAACAAGACAUUGGCUUUCGUCUUAGCUCUAAUUUCUCAAUGUUGCUUACCAUACCAUGAAGUUAUAGACACAUUUUGAGAUAGGAAACCUAUAAGAUAUCAGAUGAUGAAAUUUCAAAUGAAGAAAUUUCAGAUGAAGAACCAAAGAAACCUACUCUUAAGAAGUGGGACUUAAUUAAAGCUUUUGGGUGCUGCAAUUGUUCAACAACUCAAUAACUCACUCACUGUGUCAAAUUGGCACAAGGUAAUAUUACUCGGGGGAUUGAAUCCGGUAACCAUGCCGUAGGAAUCACCUCAUUGUACAGGUGUUUCAGGCUUUUAUCAAGCACAUUUGUAUAGCCGGCUUUCUACGACAAUAUGUGGCUUUCUCAAGUGAUUCUUGGACUUCUUAUCUUGAUGAGUUCUAUGAACAAAAGGAUUGCGUGGUGAGUGUUGUAAUCAUAAACAAGACAUUUGAUUUCAUCUUUGCACCAAUUUCUCAAGGUUGCUUACCAUACCAUGAAGUCUUUGCACUUUUUUCUCAAGGUUACUUACCAUACCACGAAGUUAUAGACAUUUCGAAAUAAGAAACCUGUAAAAUAUCAAGUAAUUAUAUUUCCAACAGUUGAGGUUCCAAAAAAAUUUGUAAAUAUGGUCAUGGCAUAGAUUGGAUAUUUGAAUUUGUAUGUUUUUCAUUUAUUUUUAU